ACUCCUACGGGAGGCAGCAGUGGGGAAUAUUGCACAAUGGGCGCAAGCCUGAUGCAGCCAUGCCGCGUGUAUGAAGAAGGCCUUCGGGUUGUAAAGUACUUUCAGCAGUGAGGAAGGUGGAUAUGUUAAUAGCAUAUUCUAUUUGUACGUUAGCUGCAGAAGAAGCACCGGCUAACUCCGUGCCAGCAGCCGCGGUAAUACGGAGGGUGCGAGCGUUAAUCGGAAUUACUGGGCGUAAAGCGCAUGCAGGUGGUUUGUUAAGUCAGAUGUGAAAGCCCGGGGCUCAACCUCGGAAUUGCAUUUGAAACUGGCAAACUAGAGUACUGUAGAGGGGGUAGGAAUUUCAGGUGUAGCGGUGAAAUGCGUAGAGAUCUGAAGGAAUACCGGUGGCGAACGGCGGCCCCCGUGGACAGAUACUGACACUCAGAUGCGAAAGCGUGGGAGCAAACAGGAUUAGAUACCCCGUGUAGGUCAGUC
rnacentral:rRNA from 1 species